UUCUUGUAUGUGUGUGUUGGUGUGUGUGUGUGUAUUGACACUGGGUGUGUCUUCAGUCAUUCAUUGCCUUAUAUUUUGAGAUGGGAUCUCUCAUUAAACCUCUGGAACUUAGCAACUUGGCUACUCCAGCUGGCCAGCAAGCCCCAGAUCUCUGCCUGUCUCUGCCUCCUCAGUGCCAGGGCUACAGGCAAGUGAGAUUUAACAAAAUUGUUGUUGUUGUUGUUGUUUUGUUUUGUGUUUUGUUUGACAUGGGUGCUGAAGAUCAAACCUAAGUCCUCUUGCUUGUGAGGCAGCCAUUUCACUCACUGACAUCGCCCCAGCUCCUUCAUUUUGGAUUUCUUUGAGUGUCGUGAGACUCUCACACUGCUUGUGUAUGUGCAAAGAGACAUGCCUGUCACUAAAAUUUGGGUGCCCCUGGGAAGACUUGUUCAUCAGGUGUGGUCACUGCUGUGUCCCCAGAAGUGAGGGACUGACCCACAGCUAGUCCCAUACUCCUGUGAGUCAGCGAAGGAGCCAACUGUGAACUGCGCUUUCCUGGCCGGCUGGCUGCGUUAGCUGUCCCCUUUCUGUCAGCUGCGUGUGUACAACUGAACAGUGUUUUCAGAUGCUAACACGGACUUUACCCUCAGUUCUAAAACAAAUAAAAUGUAGUGCAUGGAUAUACUGGAAUUUUAUUCAACUGGGAAAAAGAAGGAAAUGAAAACACCACUUGGAGGUGCUGCUGUUACUCAGUAGCUCCCCUCUCUCCAACUCUACCCUUCCUUGUGUGAGCUACACAAUGAGCAGCAGCCUGUACCCCUCCCUGGGGACCCUGCUGACCUUGCUUGCUCUGAGGAUCUCCACCAGCAUGUCAUAGACAGUGUCUCUGUUCUUCUCCAGGAACCCUUCACAUUGGUACUCCACCUGCGCAGAGAGAGAGAGAGGCCCGUUACCCCAGAGGCCAGAGCACAAGCAUCAGGAGCUUCAAAGUUCAAGGAAAGAGGAAUGGGAUGGGAGCCUGACUCCAUUCCCAGCAGAACAGGAAGGACAACACCAGGCAUGCUUGGAUUCCUGAAUGAGGAACCAGAAAAGGCUCAUGCCCAAGUCGUGCACGCAGAGGGCUGAGCAUCG